GACGAACGCUGGCGGCGUGCCUAAUACAUGCAAGUAGAACGCACAGUUUAUACCGUAGCUUGCUACACCAUAAACUGUGAGUUGCGAACGGGUGAGUAACGCGUAGGUAACCUGCCUGGUAGCGGGGGAUAACUAUUGGAAACGAUAGCUAAUACCGCAUAAUAUUAAUUAUUGCAUGAUAAUUGAUUGAAAGAUGCAAUUGCAUCACUACCAGAUGGACCUGCGUUGUAUUAGCUAGUAGGUGAGGUAACGGCUCACCUAGGCGACGAUACAUAGCCGACCUGAGAGGGUGAUCGGCCACACUGGGACUGAGACACGGCCCAGACUCCUACGGGAGGCAGCAGUAGGGAAUCUUCGGCAAUGGACGAAAGUCUGACCGAGCAACGCCGCGUGAGUGAAGAAGGUUGUCGGAUCGUAAAGCUCGGUUGUAAGAGAAGAACGGGUGUGAGAGUGGAAAGUUCACACUGUGACGGUAGCUUACCAGAAAGGGACGGCUAACUACGUG
rnacentral:rRNA from 1 species